AUCAGAAUCAUAAAGCUAACCAUUUAUAGUGGCAUUUCCACAUCACAGUGCCUGUCACUUAAAGAAAAGGAGCUGAGGUUCAGAGGAGGUUCUCAGACGCCAGCCUUAGCCCCAUGUCUUCCUUAAAUUCAGGUUUAUGGUUCUAAGCAGAGGAUGAAGUGGCACACUGCUAGUGUAUUCACUGAGGGAAAAAACUGUGCCCAGGUGAACAAGAUGACACUCGGGCAAAUGCUUGGCGAAUUCAUCUUUGGGGCUUGAGUAUUUAGGGUCCAUACUUGCUGCUUAUGUAUGUGUUUCUUCCUCUAUACUGGAAGCCUUAGGAGAAAAGGAACCAUGUCUAUCUUGUUUACUAUUGUCUCUUUGUUGUUUAUAUACUACCUGGAAUAUAACAAUAAUACUCGGAUAUUAAGCUAAAGAAUGGAAGGGUUAAUGAAAGGAUGUGUGUUAAUCAGGGUUUGCAGGAGAAGUGGAACCACUUUGUGUGUGUGUGUGUGUGUGUGUGUGUGUGUGUGUGUAGACAGAAAGGUAGACUGAUUAAGAAGGAUUGGCUCCUGUGGUUGUAGAGGCUGAGAAGUCCUAUGAUCUGCCACGUGCAAACUGCAGGAGAGCUGCUAGUGCAGCUCCAGCUCAGAGCUGAAUGCCGGAGCUUCAAGGGGUUCAAUGGUGUAAGGCCCUCUGAGUCAGAAGGCCCAAGAGCCAGGAGCACCAAAGUAUGAGAACAAAAGCUGGAUGUCUCAGCUCAGGCAGAGAGCAGAUUCGCCUUUCCUCCACCUUUUUGUUCUAGAAAAGCCCUCAAUGUCCUGGUAAACGCCCACCUAGACCGGUAGGGGCCACCCUCUUUACUGGGUCUCCUAUUCUCUUCCAGAAACAGCCUCACAGACACACCUAGAAAUAAUGUUUAACCAGCUCUCUGGGCAUCACUUAGCCCAGUCACAUCAGCUCAUAAGAUUAACCAUCACAGAUGGAUAUUGUCAUCUGUAAGUAAUAAUAGCCCUAUGUAAUUGCCUCUGGAAUCCCUUUCUGAUAUUUUCCCUUUUGCUUUUCUGGUAAUUUUCAAAUUACUAUUUCAUAUGACCUUUUCUACUUCUGAUGAUAUUUUGGUCCUUACAAUUUCAAUCACAUCCUAUAAUUACCAGAUACCUUGGACCAACACCAAAUUUCCCAAUCAUUUUCUUUUCCUGCCAUAUAACAAGGUUCAGACACAACCUACCAAUUCUCUUAAGAUAAUAUUUAUACCUUUGAGCUGUUUCCAAUACCAAAAUCCAUGUGCAUGGGAUAUGUCAACACAAAUAGCUCUUGCCUGGUACCCUCUCAUUACCAUGAGUGGCAGAAGGAGCUGAUGGAAGGAAUACCGGGCAAAGAGUCAGCAAAUCUAAGUUCUAAAUCUAAGUUGUACGUACAGCUCUCUUAAGGCAUGGAAACUUGUUUGCCUUCGGUUUCCUUAGCCACAAAAUGAAAUGGAGAUAAUAUUAUCUAUUCUUAGGACAUCCCCUAAAACCAGUUUCCCAUGUAAACUUGCAAAUAAGAGAUGCUAACGUGCUUGCACAUUUCCUUAAGCUUUUUAUUGGUUUUAGGAAACACUGAUUCCAAGGCCCUAAAGCAAAAGUUACAAACUGGUAACUUCAGGGACCACAUUGAGUCAGUAGAAGUGUUUUGUUUCUCCAGCAAUGUUGUUUUUUUAAAUUUAAGUCAGUUACUAAAACGUUUAAAAUUUGAGAGGCUUCACAUUAACAUUCUGGCUUCCUUUUGAAAAUCUGAAGAUUUGGCACCCAAGGUCCACAUUGCUGCUUGGUGACCACUUGCUGGAGCUUAGCAACAGUCGCCUCCUUUGAAGGGCAUCGGAGCACGAUAAUUCGCCACAGUCCACACCGUUCCCUAUUUUAUUACACCCAGCUGACUUGACUCACUUCUGUUACGGUGUGGUUGCUGAAGGCAUUUGAACUUGGCAAUUCCUGUCUUAAAGGCAUAUUGCGCAGCACAUAGUUGACCCCCCACAUUGCAGCUCUCAGAAUGAUCCUAUUUACAAACAGUGCCAAAGAAGAAAAUCCACAAUAUUAUUUGGGAAUCCACUGAGACACUGAGACAUUGGAACAUCUCUCUUCUAUCCAGAAAAUUUUCCUCACUGUAAAUAAGAAUAAAUGAGUUUCGAGCCGAAUGACAUCUUCUAGCUCAUUUGAGUCAAUCCCUUCAUAUAACAGACGAGCAAACUAAAGUACGAGACAGUGAAGAUGCUUGCUUAAAGCCCAGGAGAACCAGAACCAGGAGGCAGACCUAAAACCGCAACUGGACUCCCAGUGGAAAGCUUUCCAGGCCGCCACUCCUCAUUCUUCCCAGGGCAGUCAUAGAAAACAGUUGCUUUCUUUCCUUUGUGAAAAACAUAUUGAGCUUGGACUUAGGAUAAGAAGUGGUUUUUCUCUUGUUCUAGGCGUUGUACUCUCAGUAUUUCCCAACCUUAAAUACUAUGAAGAUUCUCUUUCGAACCCUGUGUUCAUUUCCUAGGGUUACCAAAACCAAGUGCCACACGUCAGGUAGCUUAGAACAACAGAAAUGUAUUCCUCCACAGUUCCGGUGGCUAGAACUAUGAAAUGAAGAUGUCAGCGGCGCUCCGAAGUCUCUCAGAGAGACUCCUUCCUAGCUCUAGGAGGCUCCUGGAAAUCCUUGGUUUCUGGUCUCCUAACCAGAUGUCCCUCCAGUCUGUGCCCCUGGGUUCACGUAGCCUUCUUUCCUGUAUCUGUCUCUGUCUUCUCUCCUCUCUUGCAUAAACACAGCAGUCAUUGGAUUGGGGGCCCACCCUAAUGCAAUAUGACCUCACUUGAGUUAAUUAGUUACAUCUGCAGAGACUUUAUUUCCAAGUCAGGUCACAUGCUGAGGUUCCAGAUGGACAGGGGAUGGGGGGAGGGUAAGGGCAGCACUCUUCAAGCCUCUACAGACCCUCUCCAGAUUUUCUUAAAAUUGUAGCCCCAUCCACUGGGGCUGAUUAUCUCAUGACUCCUAUCUGCUCCAUGGGCCACUUCUAUAAACCAUCACAAGGCCAGCUUUGAAGAGAUAAUACAUGCAGCCUCCACUUCUUACCUGUGUUCGCACAGGUAACAGCUUUGUUCAUAAAAGUAAAACUCGUCUUUGGAUUUCUUCCAGUUUGCCAAAGCAGGUACUGAUGGAGGGCUUUCAUAAAAGUGAAGUUGCGUGAUGCACACUUUCGGAAAAGGGGGAGUGCUAUUCACUUUGCACCAUUUUGCCUUAAGCAAGGUUUCCUGUGAUCCAUCUGCUUUCAGAUGGGGGCGUGGGACUGUGUAUGCAAACCCUUAUGACUUUCAGGUUCUUCGGGUCUUUCCCUGCCUUUCUUACAGUGAGCAAUCAGAGACUGUUUGGCCAAUGCUUGGGCUUUUGUGUUGGGUGGGACCCAGGUUACCAGCGAUUUGGCUUUAAGGCUCUAGGGUCUCUCCACAUGGUUGCAAGACAGCUGUCUCAGCUAUGAGAACUGAAUCUUCACCCAGUCACUUCCAUGCACGGGAACGUUUUUCUGAAGGAGAAAAAACCUCUCCCAGAAGACCCCCCCCCCCACCCCAUCCAGACCCAGUGUUCAAGACUGGGUCACAUGACAGUGUCCUAGCUCAGGGUCCUCAAACGUGUUUUUUUGAUCUUAGGAUCACUUGACACUCUUUAAAAUAUUGAAGACCCUAGAGAGCUUUUGUUUUUGAGUUCUAUCUGUCAAUGUUUACCAUAUUAGAUAUUAAAACAGACAUUUCUAAAAUAGUUAUUCAUUCAUUUAAAAAUGACCAUAAUAGGAGUUCCUGUCGGUUGUGGCUCAGUGGAAGCAAAUCUGACGAGAAUCCAUGAAGAUGCAGGUUCGAUCCCUGGCCUCCCUCAUUGGGUUAAGGAUCCAGGGUGGCCGUGAGCUGUGGUGUAAGUUGCAGAUGUGGCUCAGAUCAGGUGUUGCUGUGGGCUGUGGUGUAGGCUGGCAGCUACAGCUCCAAUAAAACCCUUAGCCUUGGAACUUCAUAUGUCAUGGGUAUGGCCCUAAAAAACCAAAAAAAAAAAAAAAGUAAUAAACCCAUAACAUGAAAAAAUAUUCUUUUAUGAAAAAUAACUAUAAUUUCCAAGGAAAAAUUUUAUGAGAAGAGGGGCAUCAUUUUGCAUUUUUACAGAUUUGUUCAGUGUCUGACUUAAGGGAAAUAAUAGAAGACAGCUAUAUUUCAGAUAAUUGUAAAUAUUCUUUGUGAUUGUACCAGAACUUGACAAGUCAUAGUUUCUUAAUGGUUAGUUGCAAUGCGAGAUCUGAAAACAUAGCAAGGAAUUUUCCAAUUUUGAUUGCAUUAAAACCCUGUACUUUGAACUAAUUCGAAUAAUUAUAUGAAUUGGUCAUUUGGAAAAUAUUAGUUCACUAAGUUUUGCAAAUCUUCCAAAUGUUGACACAUUUCAUCUUACAAUAUAAAAAAUCCCAUUCAUUAAUAUCACCAGCAAUCUCAUUCUAAUUUCUUUUGAAAGCUUGAAUUUUAUCAUUGGCAGCAGGUAUUAUUUGUUAUUUUCC
rnacentral:lncRNA from 1 species